rnacentral:RNase_P_RNA from 1 species
GGAGCCGGCCGGGCGGCCGCGGGCGCGGCAACGCGCUCGAGGAAAGUCCGGACUCCACAGGGCAGGGUGCUGGGGAGAUCCCAGGCGGGGGCGACCUCGCGGACCGCGCAACAGAGAGCAGACCGCCGCGUGAGCGGUAAGGGUGAAACGGUGAGGUAAGAGCUCACCAGCGGAUCGGGCGACCGGUCCGGCUCGGCAAGCCCCACCCGGAGCAAGGUCAAGCAGGGAGCGGGCGGCCCGUCCGAUGCUCCCGGGUAGGCCGCACCGGGCCGGCGAACGGCCCGGCGGCGCGAGAGCGCCGAGAGAGAUGGUCGCCGCGCCCUCGCGGGCGCACAGGAUCCGGCUUACAGGCCGGCUCCUCCG